GAAAUAGAACCUGAAACCGUGUGCCUACAAGUAGUCGGAGCCCAUUAACGGGUGACGGCGUGCCUUUUGUAGAAUGAACCGGCGAGUUACGAUCAGCGGCAAGGUUAAAGGGAAGACCUGGAGCCGCAGCGAAAGCGAGUCUGAACAGGGCGAUUCAGUCGUUGGUCGUAGACCCGAAACUGUGUGAUCUACCCAUGUCCAGGGUGAAGGUAAGGUAACACUUACUGGAGGCCCGAACCCACGUACGUUGAAAAGUGCGGGGAUGAGGUGUGGGUAGGGGUGAAAUGCCAAUCGAACACAGAGAUAGCUGGUUCUCUCCGAAAUAGCUUUCGGGCUAGCCUCAGCAAAAGAGUCUUGGAGGUAGAGCACUGAUUGGACGAGGGGCCCUUCCCGGGUUACCGAAUUCAGUCAAACUCCGAAUGCCAAUGACUUAUGACUGGGAGUUAGACUAUGGGUGAUAAGGUUCAUAGUCGAGAGGGGAACAGCCCAGACCGCCAGCUAAGGUCCCUAAGUAUGUGUUAAGUGGAAAAGGAUGUGGCGUUGCUUAGACAACCAGGAUGUUGGCUUAGAAGCAGCCAUCAUUGAAAGAGUGCGUAAUAGCUCACUGGUCGAGUGACGCUGCGCCGAAAAUGUACCGGGUCUAAACACAUCACCGAAGCUGCGGAUUGUCCGCAGGACAAUGGUAGGAGAGCGUUCUAAGGGCGUUGAAGUCAGACCGUGAGGACUGGUGGAGCGCUUAGAAGUGAGAAUGCCGGUAUGAGUAGCGAAAAAGAAGUGAGAAUCUUCUUCACCGUAUGCCUAAGGUUUCCUGAGGAAGGCUCGUCCGCUCAGGGUCAGUCGGGACCUAAGCCGAGGCCGAAAGGCGUAGGCGAUGGCCAACAGGUUGACAUUCCUGUACCACCUCCCAUCCGUUUGAGUAACGGGGGGACGCAGGAGGAUAAGGAAAGCGCGUUAUUGGAUAAGCGCGUCCAAGCAGCAAGAGUUGUGUGUAGGCAAAUCCGCACACUGUACGCUUGAGCUGUGAUGGGGAGGGAAAUUUAGUACCGAAGUUCCUGAUUUCACACUGCCAAGAAAAUCCUCUAGCGAGGAUGGAGGUGCCCGUACCGUAAACCGACACAGGUAGGCGAGGAGAGUAUCCUAAGGUGAUCGGGAGAACUCUCGUUAAGGAACUCGGCAAAAUGACCCCGUAACUUCGGGAGAAGGGGUGCUCACUCAGGCUACGAGCCUGGGGAGCCGCAGUGAAUAGGCCCAAGCGACUGUUUAUCAAAAACACAGGUCUCUGCGAAGCCGCAAGGCGAAGUAUAGGGGCUGACACCUGCCCGGUGCUGGAAGGUUAAGUGGAUGCGUUAGUGCCUUUGGCACGAAGCGUUGAAACGAAGCCCCAGUGAACGGCGGCCGUAACUAUAACGGUCCUAAGGUAGCGAAAUUCCUUGUCGGGUAAGUUCCGACCCGCACGAAAGGUGCAACGACUUGGGCACUGUCUCAACGAGAGACCCGGUGAAAUUAUACUAUGCGUGAAGAUGCGCAUUACCCGCGACAGGACGGAAAGACCCCGUGGAGCUUUACUGUAGCCUGAUAUUGAAUGUUGGUACAGCUUGUACAGGAUAGGUGGGAGCCUAGGAAACCGGAGCGCUAGCUUCGGUGGAGGCGCCGGUGGGAUACCACCCUGGCUGUACGAACAUUCUAACCCAGAACCGUGAUCCGGUUCGGAGACAGUGUCAGGUAGGCAGUUUGACUGGGGCGGUCGCCUCCCAAAAGGUAACGGAGGCGCCCAAAGGUUCCCUCAGAAUGGUUGGAAAUCAUUCGCAGAGUGUAAAGGCAGAAGGGAGCUUGACUGCGAGACUUACAAGUCGAGCAGGGACGAAAGUCGGGCUUAGUGAUCCGGUGGUUCCGCAUGGAAGGGCCAUCGCUCAACGGAUAAA
rnacentral:rRNA from 1 species